rnacentral:rRNA from 1 species
CCUACGGGAGGCAGCAGUGAGGAAUAUUGGUCAAUGGGCUUGAGCCUGAACCAGCCAAGUCGCGUGAGGGAAGACUGUCCUGAGUAUUGUAAACCUCUUUUGCCAGGGGACAACGCCGGCCACGUGUGGCCGUACUAAGGUACCUUGAGAAAAAGCAUCGGCUAACUCCGUGCCCGCAGCCGCGGUAAUACGGAGGAUGCGAGCGUUAUCCGGAUUUAUUUGGUUUAAAGGGUGCGCAGGCGGCGUGUCAAGUCAGCGGUAAAAUGUCGGGGCUCAACCCCGGCCGGCCGUUGAAACUGGCGUGCUUGAGUUGGAGAGAAGUAUGCGGAAUUCGUGGUGUAGCGGUGAAAUGCAUAGAUAUCACGAAGAACUCCGAUUGCGAAGGCAGCAUACCGGCGCCACACUGACGCUGAGGCACGAAAGCGUGGGGAGCGAACAGGAUUAGAUACCCGUGUAGUC